rnacentral:rRNA from 1 species
UUUGGAAUGUUAAUUGUUUUUGAUGCCUGAGUAGUAUUAGUUAUGUUCUUGAAACUUAAAGAAUUUGGCGGUAUCUCAUUCCGUCCAGAGGAAUCUGUCUCGUUAUCGAUAGUCCGCGUUGGACCUUACUUAGUUGCUUUGGUUUGUAUACCGCCGUUUAUUGAUUAUCCUUUUAGGGUUUGUUUAAUUUUCUAGUUUCUUUAUUUUGGGUUAUUUCAGGUCAAGGUGCAGCUUGUUUCUAAGUGAAUGAUGGAUUACAUUGUUAUUUGUUUUAUGGAUUAUUGGUUUUAAUAUUGGUAUGAAAUUGGAUUUGGUUGUAAUGAUUUGUAGAUUGUUAUUGUGAUAAAUGGUUCUGGGAUAUGU